GUUUUCUUUGGCAGCACAUAUACUAAAAUUGGAAUGAUAUAGAACUUAGCAUGGCCACUGCACAAGAAUGACACACAAAUUCAUGAAAUGCUCCAUAUUUUU